GACGUAGGGCGCGAGCGUUGUCCGGAUUUAUUGGGCGUAAAGAGCUCGUAGGCGGCUCGUUGCGUCGGCUGUGAAAACCCGCAGCUCAACUGUGGGCUUGCAGCUGAUACGGGCGGGCUGGAGUUCGGUAGGGGAGACUGGAAUUCCUGGUGUAGCGGUGAAAUGCGCAGAUAUCAGGAAGAACACCCGUGGCGAAGGCGGCUCUCUGGAACGCAACUGACGCUGAGACGCGAAAGCGUGGGGAGCAAACAGG
rnacentral:rRNA from 1 species